UAACUUGAACCCUUCUUUACACUUGCCAACUCAACCCCCAGGUAUGAGUUCAAGCUUUCUGGGAGUGUAGCUGAAUUUCCAGCUUCCAGAACAAGCCUAAAAACGUUCUGGUAUCCAGGUCAGCAUGGAUGCUGAUCAGCACCCCACGGAAUGGCACAAGCCCUGGGGAGGGGAGGCAUUCCCUCUCUUCCUGCAUGCAGCCAGUCUGGACAGCAUAUUACUUGUGACAGCACCAGGGGAAGAGCUUUCUUCUCUCUUCCCAGCGGCACAAAUGGAAAUUGAGGACGGCAGGAGCGGGCAGGCAUGGCUGCAGUGUGCUAAGCAGGCACACAACAAAUUCCUGACUCACUUAAGGGAUGCCUCCCGCAGGGCACAGGCAUUACACAUACAAAUGCCAGCUUCACACUUGAGACGUGUCCCGAGCAAGGAGGUGAAAGAGAAGCAAGCCACGACUUUACAGAUUAGUUCACAGCUUUUUGCAGUCUCCUUUUAAACUUUGAUCAGAGCAAAGUUGUGAUUUUUGGGGAAGGAACGAUCCCAAAAAAAAUCUGGCUUCCAAAGGCACCCAGCAGCUUCCAUAAGCAAUCCCAGCCAUGAUACAUCACACAUGCUAGAACGGGCUGAAACAGCAAUGUAUGGACGCCUUGGAAUUGGCUGCAGAUGGAAAUUUGUGCUCUACAGCCUGCUAUGGACAAUUCCCAUCUCAUAGUACAGUGCACUCCACGAACUCAGCUGCUGAACCUGAGUCCCACACAGGUUUUAGACCUUGCUAAUGACUGGCUGUCUUCCAUUUCCCACUCCCACAGCAUGCAGACAACACAGCUUGCCCUGUAUUUCAUAGGGAACUUCGUGAAAAUUGGUUAUGCUGGGGUAAAAGUUUUGUUGUGGGUUUGAAGAUGAAGUAAAAAUCAAGCCAAACCAAUUCAAGGAAAA